ACCAGGAUUCGAACCUGGCAGUCUUACUCCAGUGUCUGUGUUCUUAAUCAUCAUUCUGUGUUGCCUCUUUCAGACCUUAUUGUUUAACUUUAUACUAGCCUUUGUGUUGUGGAUUUUCUGUGAAAUGUGAGAGUCUCUCUAAAAAAAAAAGAAAAAAUCCAACAACAAUAUGCUUUAGUUCACAGAAUGGGCAUUUGUGCCCUGAAUUUCUUUUUUUAAAGACAAAAGUUCCUUUUGUAGUAGCAUGGGAUUUUAAAGUCUGACAGACUUUUUUUUUUUUUUUAACUGCAGGCUUAAUUUGAAUUUAACACAGAUUUUUAAACAUUUUUAACUUUUUUUUUAAUGUCCUCUUUCUGUUCCAGGAUUCAGCCCAGGGUAUCAUAUUGCAUUUAGUUGUCAUGUCUCCUUAGCUGUUAGCUGUGACAGUAUCUCAGUCUUUCCUUGGUUUUCAUGACCUUGAAUAGUUUUGAGGAAGACUGGUCAAGUAUUUUGUAGUAGAAUACCGUCAAUUUGGAAGUCUGAUUUUUUUUUUUUUUCAUUAUUAGAUUGAGGUUGUGGGUUUUGGGAAAGAAUACACUGAGGUGAAGUACCAUUCUUAUCACAUCAUGGCAGAGGAUACAUGUUAUCCACAUGAAGUCACUGGUGAUGUUAACCUUGCUCACUUGGGUAAGGUAGCAUUUGCCAAGUAUCUCUUCUGUAAAGUCACUCCUUU